GUGGAGCUUUACUGCAACUUGGCAUUGAGCUGUGUUUACCAAUUGUCUAGAAUAGGAGGGACCCUGAGAGCAAUCAAAGGGGACAGUGUAAUACCUCUCUUUGGUGAAUUUCAGAUCUUACCCAAGGGCCCUGAAGACGGGUCCGGGAACAGUGUUUGGUGGGCAGUUUCGCUGGGGCGGCGUCCUGCUAAAAAGUAACGCAGGAGCACAAAGGUUGGCUUACUCCCGAUGGAAACGGGAGCUCAAUGUGUAAGGGCACAAGCCAGCUUAACUGUGAGACCGACAGGUCGAACAGAUGCGAAAGCAGGUCCUAGUGAUCCCCGAGUCCGAUAUGGUAUCGGACCGGGCUUAACGGAUAAAAGCUANNAUCCUGGGGCUGGAGAAGGUCCCAAGGGUUGGUCUGUUCGCCCAUUAAAGCGCUACGUGAGCUGGGUUCAGAACGAUGUGAAUCAGUUGAGUCGCCUA
rnacentral:rRNA from 1 species